rnacentral:tRNA from 1 species
GUGGGUGUAGCUCAGCUGGCAGAGCACUGGGUUGUGAUCCCAGGUGUCGCGGGUUCAAGUCCCGUCACUCACCC